GAUCAUGGCUCAGGAUGAACGCUGGCGGCGUGCUUAACACAUGCAAGUCGAGCGAAGCACUUAGGAAAGAUUCUUCGGAUGAUUUCCUAUUUGACUGAGCGGCGGACGGGUGAGUAACCGCGUGGGUAACCCUGCCGUCAUACAGGGGGAUAACAGUUAGAAAUGACUGCUAAUACCGCAUAAGACCACAGCACCGCAUGGUGCAGGGGUAAAAACUCCGGUGGUAGUGAGAUGGACCCGCG
rnacentral:rRNA from 1 species